rnacentral:rRNA from 1 species
ACAAGCGGUGGAGCAUGUGGUUUAAUUCGAUGAUACGCGAGGAACCUUACCUGGGCUCAAAUGUAUGUUGACGUAUUCUGAAAGGGAUACUUCUUCGGACAAUAUACAAGGUGCUGCAUGGUUGUCGUCAGCUCGUGCCGUGAGGUGUCGGGUUAAGUCCCAUAACGAGCGCAACCCCUAUCAUUAGUUGCCAUCAGGUCAAGCUGGGGACUCUAAUGGAACUGCCUACGCAAGUAGUGAGGAAGGCGGGGAUGACGUCAAAUCAGCACGGCCCUUACGUCCAGGGCUACACACGUGCUACAAUGGCCGAUACAGAGGGCAGCUACCUGGUGACAGGAUGCAAAUCUCCAAAGUCGGUCUCAGUUCGGAUCGGAGUCUGCAACCCGACUCCGUGAAGUUGGAUUCGCUAGUAAUCGCGCAUCAGCCAUGGCGCGGUGAAUACGUUCCCGGGCCUU